rnacentral:lncRNA from 1 species
GUGGCCUUCAUGUUCUAUAGCUGACAAUUAGCUGCCACUUUUCACAGCCAUCAGUCCCAGACCAGACCAUAGUACAGUCUACUGCCCAGGUUCUGGGAAUUUCUGAGCUGUUUAAUAACCAAUAACUCCAAGUACAGCAGUAACAGCAAAAGAAUCUCUCACUACAUGAAUAUAUGAAUAUGAAAUUGUUGCAAGAAGCUGGUGUCUCCCUUCCAAAGGAUAUGUGGCAAAGUCACCAGAUGAAGCUGACGCAAUUGUCAAAAAAUUAGGUUCUAAAGAUGUUGUGAUAAUGGCACAGAAUUUUGCUUGUGGUAGACAAAAAGGAACAUUUGGAAGCAGUCCCAAAAGAGGAGUGAAGAUAGUUUUCUAUCAAGAAGAAAAAGCUGUUCCCUCUCAAAUUAUUGGGAAAAAGUUGUUUACCAAGUAAACAGGAGAAAAGGACAAAAUAUGCAAUCAAGUAUUGAUCUGUGAGCAAAAAUAUCCCAGGAGAGAAUACUACUUUCCAGUAACAAUGGAAAGGUCAUUUCAAGGUCCAGUAUAAAUAGGAAGUUUGCAAGGUGGUGUCAACACUGAAGAUGUUUCUGCUGAGACUCCUGAUGUAAUAAAGAAUCUAUUGAUGUCGUAGAAGGCAUCAAAAAGGAACAAGCUCUCCGGCUUGCACAGAAUAUAAGAUUUCCAUCUACUAUUGUGGAUUCUGUGGCAGAAAACAUGGUCAAGCUUUACAAUCUUUUUCUGAACUACAACACAACCAUGAUAAAAAUAAGCUCAAUGGUAUAAGAUUCAGAUGGAGCUCUGCUAUGUUUGGACACAAAGAUCAAUUUUGAUUCUAAUUCAGUCUAUCGCCAGAAGAUCUUUGAUCUACAGGACUGGACUCAGGAAGAUGAAAGGAACAAAGAUGAAGCUAAGCCACAUCUCAAUAACACUGGCCUCAGUGGAAAAAUAGGCUGUCUAGUAAAUGGUGCUGGUUUGGCUAUAACCACAAUAGGUAUAAGAAAACUUCAUAAAGAGACUCCAAACAGAUUCCUUGUUGCUCAUGUUAGUGCUACAGUCCAUCAAGUAACAGAAUCACUUAUGCUUAUCACUUCAGAUAAAAAGAGGUACUGGCUAUUCUGGUCAACAUUUUUGGAGGAAUCACUUGAUGUUAUGUUAUUACACAGGGUAUAGUUCUGGCUGUGAAAGAUUUUGAAAUUAAAAUAUCUGUUGUGGUACAUUUACAAGGUUCACUAGUUAAUGAUGCUAAGGCACUACUAGCAGAAAAGCUACUAGAAUGGCUUCAAAGCUCUCUGAAAUAGUGACCUUAGUCAAGCAA